AUGAAGCACAAGACCAUUAUGCUCACCAUUUUGGUUCUCUGCCUGGUCUGCAUAGUACCACCACUCCAGGUUGAAGCACAACCCCGACGUCUUGCUGCUGAAGAAAGGGAAGUACUACUAGAAAUUGGUUUACAAUUAGGAAAAAAAGGCUGGAACUUGGAUGUUGAUCCUUGCAAUGACACAACCUGGUCUACCGCCCCUAGUGGUGACGAGCCCUUAUACAACAACACUGUCGUAUGCAACUGCUCGUACCCUGAUGGUCUAUGCCACGUCGUCAAGAUUUUUCUUAAAGGACAAGACCUGGCUGGUGAACUUCCAUCAUCUAUUGCAAAGUUGCCCUAUCUUACAGCAAUUGAUUUCAUGAGGAACUACCUAACUGGUAAUAUACCAAGUGCAUGGGCUUCUACGAAGUUGGAAUAUCUGUCCAUUGCUGUGAACAACUUAUCAGGACCAAUCCCUGCCUUCUUGGGAAACAUUACAACUCUGGUGUAUAUGAACAUAGAGAAUAACGUGUUCUCAGGAACUGUUCCUCCCGACCUUGGAAACUUGGUUAACUUGCAGAAUCUUAUUCUUAGUGCCAACAAUCUCACAGGAGUACUGCCGGUGGCUCUAAUGAAUCUGACAAAGUUAACAGAACUGAGGAUUAGUAGCAACAACUUCACUGGAAGAAUGCCCGACUUUUUUCAAAGUUGGAACCAACUUCAGAAUUUAGAGAUCCAAGCUAGCGGUUUACAAGGUCCCAUUCCAUCUACCGUUUCUGUCUUGAGUAAUUUAACAGAACUAAGGAUCAGCGACUUAAGCGGAGCGGGUUCAGUAUUUCCAGAUUUGAGUAAUAUGACAAGCAUGCGAAGAUUAAUGCUGAGGAGCUGUAAUUUAUCAGGACGUAUUCCUAAUUUAUCAGCAAUGACAGGAUUAGAUCUCAGCUUCAACACUUUGGAAGGAAGUAUUCCUGAUCUUGAAGAUCUUUUUCUGAACGAUUUUUUGCAGUACUUGUAUCUAACUAGCAACUUGCUCAGUGGCUCUAUUCCAGACUGGAUCAAGAGCAGAGAUAGUCGCUACGUGAUAGAUGUUUCUUACAAUAAUUUUUUUAAGAGCUCUGAGCCAUCUUUUUGCGCAGAAAACGUGUAAGAAUACUCAUUGCAUAUCAAUUGUGGUGGUAAAGCAACCACCAUUGAAGGAGUCAACUUUGAAGCGGAUCAAGACCUAGGAGGUCCAGCACAUUGGGCUCCUUCAAGGCCUAGCUGGGGAUUCAGCAGUACUGGACAUUUUUGGGAUACCAACGCCGCCACCUCUACAGACUACAUAGCAAAUAAUAUAUCUAUACUUGGGAUGAACAACUCUGAGUUGUACACACAUGCACGUCUCUCUCCUCUUUCUCUGACGUAUUAUGCACGCUGCUUGGCAAAUGGAAAUUAUAAUGUGAAGCUUUACUUUUCGGAGAUUAUAAUCAGAGGCAAUGCAUCUUUUCACGGUCUUGGAAGAAGGAUAUUUGAUGUUUAUAUUCAGGAUAAACGAGUGUUGAAGGAUUUUGACAUCAAAGAUACAGCAGGAGUGGUUGAUAUAGUAGUAAUUAGAGACUUCCCAGUUGAGGUUAAAGAUAAAACUUUAGAAAUCCGAUUUCAUUGGUCUGGGAAAGGAACAACAGCGUCCCCAAGGAGAGGAGUAUAUGGUCCGCUAAUAUCAGCGAUCUCAGUAAAUUUUGAUAGUUCCGCCACUGCUGAUGCCAAAAAGAAGGUACUAAUUGCGGUUGCAGCUUCGGCUGGAAGUUUUGUUUUCUUAAUUUUAGGCAUUCUUUGGUGGAAAGGUUUUCUGGAUAGCAUGACAUCAAGGGGAAAAGCUUGUAGAGGACUGGAUCUGCAAAAGGGUUUUUUCACCUUCAAGCAAAUUAAAGCUGCCACUAACAACUUUGAUCUGGCAAACAAAAUUGGGGAAGGUGGUUUUGGGUCUGUCUACAAGGGUAUAUUAUUGGAUGGUACAAUAGUUGCCGUUAAACAACUGUCUUCAAAAUCAAAGCAGGGAAAUCGAGAAUUUGUGAACGAAAUAGGCAUGAUUUCUGGUUUGCAACAUCCAAAUCUUGUUAGAUUGUAUGGAUCUUGCACUGAAGCAAAUGAACUACUGCUGGUUUAUGAAUACAUGGAAAACAAUAGCCUUGCACAUGCUUUGUUUGGUCUAGAGGAAGGUCCAGCAAGAUUGGACUGGCAUACAAGGCAGAGAAUAUGUAUAGGCAUAGCAAAAGGUCUGGCUUUCUUGCAUGAGGAAUCAGCACUUAAGGUUGUACACAGAGACAUCAAAACUACGAAUGUGUUAUUGGACAAAGACCUUAAUGCUAAGAUCUCGGAUUUUGGUUUAGCCAAGCUUGAUGAAGAAGAGAACACCCACAUCAGCACCAGAGUAGCUGGAACUAUAGGAUACAUGGCUCCAGAAUAUGCACUUUGGGGUUAUUUAACCUUCAAAGCAGAUGUCUUCAGUUUUGGAGUUGUCACACUGGAAAUAGUUGCUGGAAAGAACAACAUGAAGUUUCGACCAAAUGAGAAUUUUGUAGGCCUUGUGGAUUGGGCUCUUGUGUUACAACAAAAAGAGAGUUUAGUGGAACUGGUGGAUCCAAAGUUAGGGUCAGAUUUCAGUGAGGAAGAGGCGGUUAGAAUGGUUAAAGUAGCUCUGCUAUGCAUCAAUCCGACAGCUGCACUUAGGCCAAACAUGUCUGCAGUCGUGAGUAUGCUCGAGGGGCGAAUUCCUGUCGAUGAAUUGAUUAUGGAUCCAAGUAUAUAUAGCGAAGAAAUGAGGUUAACAGCCUUGAGAAAUCCGUUUGAGCAGACUGUCGAAGAGAGCGCAGGUGGAACUAAGAGCUUGAUACAUUCAUCAGAUGCAUCAUGGAAUGGUUCUUCUGCUCCUACUAUAUCUUCAGAUCUCUAUAAAAUCAGUCCUAGUGGUUACUCUAAGUAGAUAUACAAACCCCAACAGAACAAUUAUUUCACACUCGACAUCCCACCCCAGAUUAUGUCAUAUACUGUAAUGAUCAUGUUGAAUUAAUUAGAUUGAGUCAAGAAAUUAAGCCUUCUAUAGCAGGGCUUGCAGCUGGCCAGCUGCCACCAUGCUCAUUAAGAAAUUAAGAAUUCUGUAAUUCAACUGCAUGUCAUCAUAAAUUUGGUAAUUGAAGCAUACAAAUUUAAAUCUUGGAAU